rnacentral:rRNA from 1 species
GAUGAACGCUGGCGGCGUGCCUAAUACAUGCAAGUCGAGCGAACAGACGAGGAGCUUGCUCCUCUGACGUUAGCGGCGGACGGGUGAGUAACACGUGGAUAACCUACCUAUAAGACUGGGAUAACUUCGGGAAACCGGAGCUAAUACCGGAUAAUAUAUUGAACCGCAUGGUUCAAUAGUGAAAGACGGUUUUGCUUUCCCUUAUAGAUGGAUCCGCGCCUAUUUAGCUAGUUGGUAAGGUAACGGCUUACCAAGGCGACGAUGCGUAGCCGACCUGAGAGGGUGGUCGGCCACACUGGAACUGAGACACGGUCAAGACUCCUACGGGAGGCAGCAGUAGGGAAUCUUACGCAAUGGGCGAAAGCCUGACGGAGCAACGCCGCGUGAGUGAUGAAGGUCUUCGGAUCGUAAAACUCUGUUAUUAGGGAAGAACAAAUGUGUAAGUAACUAUGCACGUAGUGACGGUACCUAAUCAGAAAGCCACGGCUAACUACGUG